rnacentral:rRNA from 1 species
CCUACGGGAGGCAGCAGUGAGGAAUAUUGGUCAAUGGGCGGAAGCCUGAACCAGCCAAGUCGCGUGAGGGAUUAAGGCCCUGCGGGUCGUAAACCUCUUUUGCCGGGGAGCAGAGGUCCGGACGUGUCCGGGCCGGGAGAGUACCCGGAGAAAAAGCAUCGGCUAACUCCGUGCCAGCAGCCGCGGUAAUACGGAGGAUAAGAGCGUAAUCCGGAUUUAUUGGGUGUAAAGGGUGCGUAGGCGGGCAUUUAAGCCGGGGGUCAAAUGGCGGGGCUCAACCCCGGCCUGCCGUCGGAACUGGGGGCCUUGAGUGGGCGAGAAGUAUGCGGAAUGCGUGGUGUAGCGGUGAAAUGCAUAGAUAUCACGCAGAACCCCGAUUGCGAAGGCAGCAUACCGGCGCCCUACUGACGCUGAGGCACGAAAGUGCGGGUAUCGAACAGGAUUAGAUACCCCUGUAGUC